GCACAUAAUUUUCAUUUUGGGGGGGAGGGACCCACAGAGAACAUAAUAUUCUCUCCAUUCUUUAUAUAUAUCACACACAGGCCCUCCUCAUCAGAGAGUAACAACAAUACCCUCACACUGACCUCACCAUCACACACCCAUAUACACUACACACUCUUAAUUUUAUCAGGAUAUACAUAGAAAUGGAUAGAUAAGAGAUGACGUGAGAAAGAGAAAGCUGCGAGAGAGUGAAAGAGAUCUGCGAAAGAGAUAUCUGCGAAAGAGUGAUAGAGAUUUGCGAGAGAGAGAUUCAUUAUUGAAAUCGAAAGAGAACGAUGGCAAAGCAGUUUCCGACGAGUGAGAGCUUGAGGAACACAAGUUUGGUGGUUUGAUUAGUCUUCCGGUGACAGGCUCACCGAAAUCGCGUCUAGGUGUCAUAAAUUCGUUCAAAACCCAUCGAAUAUGUCUAAAAUGAUAUCUUUGUAUCAUUUUGGUCAUAGCCAAAGUUUAUCGGGGUUACAGUGACACAAAAUCAUCAAACAAACCUCGAUCUGCUUUUGAUUUCGUUCAAACCCAUUGGAAUCGGGAUGAAUUUCUCUUAUUUAUCAUGAUUUUUAGUUCGAGGUUGUGUGGGUACGUGAGAAUCUGGUCCAGGUCUCUUUUUUUCUGUGAUUCUCAGUUCCAAGUUGGAUGAGUUUGUUUAUUUUAGGUUCGGUUCAAGGUUUUCGAGUGCGGAUUCUCUUUAUUCGAAUAAUAUUGAGUUUGAAAGCUACGAAUCGAGGUCCAAUUCUAUUAUCUCUCUUUUUAUUUCAUUAUUUACUGUAUUUUGUUGUGUUGGAUUGAAUAUUUUGUGUUUUGUUUGAUCCUUGUUGGUGAUGAACACAUAUUUGUUUUGAUUCGCGG
rnacentral:lncRNA from 1 species